AUGGCGGCGGCUGCAGCUACAAACGGGACCAGAGGGAGCAGCGGGAUGGAGGUGGAUGCAGCAGUAGUUUCCAGCGUGAUGCCCUCUGGAGUGACUAGGAGUGUUUCCGUCGCUCUCCAUCCCCUUGUCAUUCUCAACAUCUCUGACUACUGGAUCUGCAUGCGCUCCCAGGAGGGGCGGCCUGUGCAGGUGAUUGGGGCUUUGAUUGGCAAGCAGGAAGGCCGAAAUAUCGAGGUGAUGAACUACUUUGAGCUGCUGUCCCACACCGUGGAAGAGAAGAUUAUCAUUGACAAGGAAUAUUAUUACACCAAGGAGGAGCAGUUUAAACAGGUGUUCAAGGAGCUGGAGUUUCUGGGUUAGUAUACCACAGGGGGGCCACCUGACCCCUCGGACAUCCACGUCCAUAAGCAGGUGUGUGAGAUCAUCGAGAGCCCCCUCUUUCUGAAGCUGAACCCUAUGACCAAGCACACAGAUCUUCCUGUCAGCAUUUUUGAGUCUGCCAUCGAUAUAAUCAAGGGAGAGGCCACAAUGCUGUUUGCUGAGCUGACCUACACUCUGGCCACAGAGGAAGCGGAACGCAUUGGUGUAGACCACGUAGCCCGAAUGACAGCAACAGGCAGUGGAGAGAACUCCACUGUGGCCGAACACCUGAUAGCACAGCACAGCGCCAUCAAGAUGCUGCACAGCCGCGUCAAGCUCAUCUUGGAGUACGUCAAGGCCUCUGAAGCAGGAGAGGUCCCCUUUAAUCAUGAGAUCCUGCGGGAGGCCUAUGCUCUGUGUCACUGCCUUCCGGUGCUCAGCACAGACAAGUUCAAGACAGAUUUUUAUGAUCAAUGCAACGACGUGGGGCUCAUGGCCUACCUCGGCACCAUCACCAAAACGUGUAACACCAUGAACCAGUUUAUGAACAAGUUCAACGUCCUCUACAAUCGACAAGGCAUCGGCAGGCGAAUGCGCAGGCUCUUCUUCUGAUGAGGGUACUUGAAGGGGUGAUGGACAGGGGUCAGGCAACUGUCCCAAAGGGGAGGGCGCUACACUUCAUUGAGAGAAAUCGCUGUCAUUAAUAAUAAAGGGGAGCAGCCCCUGAGCACC